rnacentral:rRNA from 1 species
GAUGAACGCUGGCGGCGUGCCUAAUACAUGCAAGUCGAGCGAACGGACGAGAAGCUUGCUUCUCUGAUGUUAGCGGCGGACGGGUGAGUAACACGUGGAUAACCUACCUAUAAGACUGGGAUAACUUCGGGAAACCGGAGCUAAUACCGGAUAAUAUUUUGAACCGCAUGGUUCAAAAGUGAAAGACGGUCUUGCUGUCACUUAUAGAUGGAUCCGCGCUGCAUUAGCUAGUUGGUAAGGUAACGGCUUACCAAGGCAACGAUGCAUAGCCGACCUGAGAGGGUGAUCGGCCACACUGGAACUGAGACACGGUCCAGACUCCUACGGGAGGCAGCAGUAGGGAAUGUUCCGCAAUGGGCGAAAACAUGACGGAGCAACGCCGCGUGAGUGAUGAAGGUCUUCGGAUCGUAAAACUCUGUUAUUAGGGAAGAACAUAUGUGUAAGUAACUGUGCACAUCUUGACGGUACCUAAUCAGAAAGCCACGGCUAACUACGUG